AAGAGAGGUCUGGGACAAAAAGAACUGCUAACUCUUUUAAUCAUGGUUCAACUCCAUGGCUCACUUA
rnacentral:tRNA from 7 species